ncrna:unclassified sequences type-P1 twister ribozyme
UAGGUAACUCCGCCUAUGUCAUCUUAGGUGUAAUUAUAUGACAUAGCCGGUCCCAAGCCCGGAAAAAGGAGGAGGGGGCA